AACGCUAGCUACAGGCUUAACACAUGCAAGUCGAGGGGUAACGAGAGGAAAGCUUGCUUUCCUUGUCGACGACCGGCGCACGGGUGAGUAACGCGUAUCCAACCUGCCCCCAACAAGGGAGUAACCUUGCGAAAGUAAGACUAAUACCCUAUAAUUUCCUCAGAUGUCAUCUGACGAGGAAUAAAGAUUUAUCGGUUGUGGAUGGGGAUGCGUCUGAUUAGCUUGUUGGCGGGGUAACGGCCCACCAAGGCAACGAUCAGUAGGGGUUCUGAGAGGAAGGUCCCCCACAUUGGAACUGAGACACGGUCCAAACUCCUACGGGAGGCAGCAGUGAGGAAUAUUGGUCAAUGGGCGGAAGCCUGAACCAGCCAAGUAGCGUGCAGGAUGACGGCCCUAUGGGUUGUAAACUGCUUUUAUACAGGAAUAAAGUUAGCCACGUGUGGUUAUUUGUAGGUACUGUAUGAAUAAGGACCGGCUAAUUCCGUGCCAGCAGCCGCGGUAAUACGGAAGGUCCAGGCGUUAUCCGGAUUUAUUGGGUUUAAAGGGAGCGUAGGCCGUCUGUUAAGCGUGUUGUGAAAUGUAGAUGCUCAACAUCUGAAUUGCAGCGCGAACUGGCAGACUUGAGUGUGCGCAACGUAGGCGGAAUUCGUGGUGUAGCGGUGAAAUGCUUAGAUAUCACGAAGAACUCCGAUUG
rnacentral:rRNA from 1 species